rnacentral:rRNA from 2 species
AGGUGACCUGCGGAAGGAUCAU